rnacentral:rRNA from 1 species
AUUGAACGCUGGCGGCAGGCCUAACACAUGCAAGUCGAACGAGUGGCGGACUGGUGAGUAUUGUCCGGGAAACUGCCUGAUGGAGCGGGAUAACUACUGGAAACGGUAGCUAAUACCGCAUACCAUCAGAUGUGCCCAGCUGGGAUUAGCUCGUUGGUGGGGUAACGGCUCACCAAGCCGACGAUCCCUAGCUGGUCUGAGUAGAUGACCAGACACACGUGAGCUGAGACAAGGGCCAGACUCCUACGGGAGGCAGCAUUGGGGAAUAUUGCACAAUUGGCGCAAGCCUGAUGCAGCCAAGCCGCGUGUAUGAAGGAGGCCUUCGGGUUGUAAAGUACUUUCAGCGGGGAGGCGUUACCCGCAGAAGAAGCACCGGCUAACUCCGUGCCAGCAGCCGCGGUAAUUC